CGUUCCUGUGUCUGACUCUGCGGAAGCAGGCGCUUGCUUCUCCAGUUUCGAUUUGUCUAUUCUCACAUGUGACAAGGGCCUGUCUGAGGCUGCUGAGCUGGCCAAAAACCACCCUCGUCCAGCCGGCAUACUCCAGUGAGCAACUCCCUCUCUCUGUGCCCAUCACCGUCACUACUCUUCGCUUCUAUCAGCUGCUGCUGGGCGGUUUUUCGCGAAUGCGCCGGCCAUUGAGGAAGAGGGAGGAUGAGGUGAUGACGGUGGGCGACCGCUCCACAACGCAUAGAAGCCUCGUUUGCUUUCCAAGCACCACCGCACGUACGUACAACAGCGGCAUACAGGCACGUCUCGUUUUCUCCAACCUGUGCUGACUGCAGUGAUUAAACUAGACACACGCGCGGCAACCUCCACGCGCCGGUCCGUGCUCGACACACCAUCAACCCCUUUCCUGCUGGCGCUGCUCUCUCUCUGUCUGUCGCCCACAAGGACCAUCACAUCCGCGAUUAGGAUGGGAGAGACGACCACCACGAGUCACAGCCUACGCCACUUCGGCAUCUGUUCCUCGACUCGUGCUCUACCUCCUCCACCUCUCAAGUUCUGCUCUGCCACCUUCCUUCCCCUCCCUCCUCACCUCGCGCACCGCACCCCACGAGCUCGUGCCGGCGUGCUCACCUUCCACGUUACUCUGUCAG
rnacentral:misc_RNA from 1 species